GGCCUGGUGGUCUAGUAGUAUGAUUCCUUCUUAGGGCGUUGUGCUUAUAUGGAGGAGGUCCCGGGUUCAAUUCCCGGCCAGGCCC
rnacentral:tRNA from 1 species